rnacentral:rRNA from 1 species
GAUGAACGCUGGCGGCGUGCCUAAUACAUGCAAGUCGAGCGAACGGACGCGAAGCUUGCUUUUCUGAUGUUAGCGGCGGACGGGUGAGUAACACGUGUAUCACCUACCUAUAAGACUGGGAUAACUUCGGGAAACCGGAGCUAAUACCGGAUAAUAUUUUGCACCGCAUGGUUCAAAAGUGAAAGACGGUCUUGCUGUCACUUAUAGAUGGUUCCGGGCUGCAUUAGCUAGUUGGUAAGGUAACGGCCUACCAAGGCAACGAUGCGUAGCCGACCUGGGAGGGUGAUCGGCCACACGGGAACGGAAACACGGUCAAGACUCCUACGGGAGGCAGCAGUAGGGAAUCGGCCGCAAUGGGCGAAAGCCUGACGGAGCAACGCCGCGUGAGAGAUGAAGGUCUUCGGAUCGUAAAACUCUGUUAUUAGGGAAGAACAGAUGUGUAAGGAACUGUGCACAUCUUGACGGUACCUAAUCAGAAAGCCACGGCUAACUACGUG